CUACGGGGGGCAGCAGUGGGGAAUAUUGGACAAUGGACCAAAAGUCUGAUCCAGCAAUUCUGUGUGCACGAUGACGGUUUUCGGAUUGUAAAGUGCUUUCAACAGGGAAGAAGUUCUGACGGUACCUGUAGAAGAAGCGACGGCUAAAUACGUGCCAGCAGCCGCGGUAAUACGUAUGUCGCAAGCGUUAUCCGGAUUUAUUGGGCAUAAAGGGCAUCUAGGCGGCUUAGUAAGUCUGAUGUGAAAAUGCGGGGCUCAACUCCGUAUUGCGUUGGAAACUACUAAGCUAGAGUAUUGGAGAGGUAGGCGGAACUACAUGUGUAGAGGUGAAAUUCGUAGAUAUAUGUAGGAAUGCCGAUGACGAAGGUAGCUUACUGGACAAUUACUGACGCUGAAGUGCGAAAGCUAGGGGAGCAAACAAGAUUAGAUACCCUCGUAGUC
rnacentral:rRNA from 1 species